CAAUAGCGUAUAUUAAAGUUGUUGCAGUUAAAAAGCUCGUAGUUGAAAUUCUGAUUGUUCGGGUCUCUUGUCUUUAGACAGAGAUACCGACAGUCAUCCGCUUGCAAACAUAUUUCGAUCUUUACCGGUUGGCUAUGUGAGUAAGCAUUUUACCUUGAGAAAAACAGAGUGUUCCAGGCAGGUUUGUCCGGAAUGCAUUAGCAUGGAAUAAUAGAACAUGACUGAAGUCUCUUUAUUGGUUACAGACUUUAGUAAUGAUUAAUAGGAACAGUCGGGGGCAUUCGUACUCAGCAGUCAGAGGUGAAAUUCUAAGAUUUGCUGAAGACGAACUAAUGCGAAAGCAUUUGCCAAGGAUGUUUUCAUUAAUCAAGAACGAAAGUUAGGGGAU
rnacentral:rRNA from 1 species